rnacentral:lncRNA from 1 species
AAUCCAGAUUUGCUUUCUCCAUCAAGAUUAGAUUUCUUGGUUCAAGUCUCAUCCAGUCUUUGCAAAGAAAAGGCUAUUUCUCCAGAAGAUACAUCGUUCUUAUUAGAUAAAUCAAAAAUUACUUGCCUCUUUAUCUGCUACUUCCAGCCAUAAAGAAUUCUUGAACAGAAUUAAAGAAGCUAUGACUGCUUUAUCUGAAAGUGAUAGUGCUUCUAGCACUUCUAAAAUAAUAAUGAAGAUGAUUGUUAUGGAAUCAUAGACCUCUAAAUUAUGUUGAAGAUAAGUUCAAUUAUGAUGAAGAUAAGAUUUUGAAGAAUCCUCUUGUCAGAAUUAUUUUUGAAGAUAAAAUCAAUUAUGAUAAAGAUAAGAAGUUCAAGACAACCACGCCCCUUUGUUGUCCUCAAUUACCUUCCACUCAGAAUUACUUUUGAAUUAUUGACUCUACUUUAUUAAAGUUUUUGUUUUAUUUCAAUUAUUCAGACCAUGUGGGUCAUUACAUUAUAAAGUUUUUGUUUUUAUUUCAAUUAUUCAGACCAUGUGGGUCAUUACUUUGUAUAAAGUUUAUGCUUAGUUUAAUUUAGUUUGAAGUCCGUGUGGAUCCUUGCCUAUAAAAGGAUCAUUUGUGUGUUGUGAAAGGCAUUCGAGUUUUCAGUCUUAAAACUUGGAAAUCUUGAUUGCCAUCCUUUGUAAGUAUUUUUCAUAAAUAAAAGCAAGUCUUUUAAUAUCUUCAACAUGUAUUCCAUGUCUUCCGCAUAUUAUCUUACUCUUACAAUUUUGAUUAUCAAUAAUAUCUUUAUCUUAACUAAUAUUUUCACCAUUAUUAUCAUUAUUAUUAUUAUUUUAGGGCCCCUACUGCUCUGGUAUCAGAGCCAGGUUGGGUGGUGACUAUUGACUUGCAUUAUCUUUUAUUAGAUUUCUACUAUAUAUAUAUAUAUAUAUUAGAGAGAGAGAGAGAGAGAGAGGAUUGGGCUACAGUUUACAAAGGUAGAAUCAGUGUAACAAUAUGUUACCCCAGUCAGAAUCAAACAUUCCUCUAAUAGGGGAUUGGGCUACAGUGUGACAAUAGCCCACUUAUUACAAAUAUUUUAUC